rnacentral:lncRNA from 1 species
CCUUCGAUUUACCUGUUACCUGAGAAUACAAGUAUUUUGAAAAACGUCAACAUAUGAAAUGUUGGUGAGUUCAUAAGUAAUGUUUGAAAUAUAAUGUUUUGUAUUGUUUUGAAAACCACCAGAAAAUCCGAUAUUUUCUGAAAAGAGUAUCGUGUAAAAAGUGUGAAGAUCCGUAAGUAUGCUUGUUUGUUUCUAUAAAUGUAAAAAAAAUUGUUAGACUUGGUAUGCAUCUUGUAGGUGUAUGAAUUGAAAACCCUAGGAAAACCCGAUGUUUUCCUAAUACUUUGAAUUACGCGUUUUAUAUUUUGUUAUACCGUUGUGACGUGUGUAUUCGAUAAUUCCAGGUGACAUUGGAUUAAUUAUGGAUUGUGAAUUGUUAUAAACACGCAUUAAUGAAAACGACUAGUUUACAACUAUACAAACGAUCCCUUAGGCGUCGUCCGUACUAUUCACUUAAUCCAACCACCCUAACUUCUCAUAGCCCCACAACCGAGGAGAAAAGAGGGUGCGAAGCCCCCGCUAUUUCCAUAAGUCGUUCAAGGCUAUCGUGAAUGCGAAAGGCCCUUGGCCCGACUCGCAUUGGUGAAUUCUCGACUUUGCUAGCAGUACCAAAAGACCCUUGGGGCCCAACAGCACAAAAGCCAUUGAAAGUCCUUUUACAUGGAAUUAGGUCAUAUAAGACCCAACAACAUGUAAGCGAGUUUCCUUCGGGCCUAAAGAUCAUGUCAUUGGGCUAGCUAGGCCCAACAAGCACGAUUUGAAACUUUCGGGCCCAAAGAUGGUGUAUCGACGUCUGGUGAAUUCCCGCGUGUGUAUUGACUUCCCGUAAUUUCAGCGUGUGUAUUGUAGUAUCGUCGUGUAUAGAUUUUUGAUUCAUUAUUGAUUCGAGACCGAAUCAAUUCGUUUGGUAACGAUUUUUGGUGUUGAAGGUGUAUUAUGUUUCGUCAGUAGUCGUGGUACUAGUAUUUCAUCAUAACGGAUUUAUUGUUUAAAACAUUAGAAUUUUACUUUUUGCAGCCCCUUUCUUUUGGAUAAAUUUACACUUUUGACCCUUUGUAUAAAAGAAUUUCCAUUUUAGUCCUUAAACCAUUUUUCUUGACACUUUAGUAUCAAAACUUGUUGAAAAGGUAUUUUUCAGCUCAAAUUUAUUUGAAAAACAGUUUUAGUCCCUCAGAAUGAAGUUUUCUCGGCUGAAACCUCUAUUUUCGCAAUUUUUACACUUUUGGCCCAAAAUAGAAAUUUUUUGCAUCUUUGGUCCCUUUUAAAUAUGAAAAGUAUUUUUAACCCCUGAAAUGGACUUGGAGCACUAGUAGUCCCCUGUUUUACAGAAAAGUACAGUUUCAGCCCCUCUAAUUUGAAAAUCUCGCAAUUUGGGCUUUAUUGGGCCGAAAAGUUCAUUUUUGGCCCAUUAUGCUUAAAAAUUCACAUUUUAAUCCUUCAAAAGAGUAAAUUUCCAGAAAAUACAUUUUUGAAACUGUUUUGACUCAUCUCAUCCCUCAGAAUUUGUAUUUUGACAUUUUGGGCCCUUUAGUUUCAUAUUUUUAGCAUUUUGAGUCCAAAAAUGGGUUUUAAGCCCAAAGAUGUUCAUAUUAACCAACUUGGUUAUUUUUCUAGAAAUGAUUUGUGUGAAAUAACAUAAUUUAUACUUAUUUCAUACAACUUAAUGUAGAUCUCGGUUUUAAGGUCUUUUUGACUAGAUCCAACACCACAAUCACAUAAGAACAUAUAUACAAGCAUAGAAAUCACACAAAGCAUACAUAUACUCAUAGAUCUACACAUUUGCUUGUAUCCCCCCCCCCCACAAAACUUAUAAAAACCAAAAAAUAGGGGGUAUGAAGCUCACCUUGUGGUUUGGAUUUGGUUUUGAUGAAGAUUUGAGAGGAUAUUUCGGCCCUAGCAACUUCUUGAGGAAGUUUUCGAACUUAGAUGGUUCUAGGGAGUUAGACCAUAAAUUUGCAUGAGUUAAGAUGAGAUGUUUGAUAAAACAAGGAACCUAGAUCAUAGAUUUAAGUAUAAACUUACCUUGGAUGAUGAUUUUUGUGGAAAAAUCUCUUUGAAAAGCUCUUAAGUCUCGAAAAUUUGAUGAAGGAAGGUGAGGAUGUUCUUUGAGAGAGUUGGUUUAAAAAAAUUGGAUGAAGUGUGUAUGUUUGGGAGGCUCUCGGCCAAAUGAAAAGAGAGAGGGGGAAGAGAUGAGCUUGCCUUGAUACAUGAAACUAUGCAUGGAUACAUGGGAGAUAAUACUUAGAGAUAUGUUGGAUAUUAAUGAGGUGUCAACUUAAAAGUCAACUCUCUUAAUUUCAUUCUCUCUUUCCUUUUUCUUUUUUGUUUAUCCCACUUGGGCCGAGAAUUAGAGAAAGAGAAGUGAGUUUUGGGCCUUAAAGGCUUAAUCCUAAUUACUUGAUUAUGUUGAGUGAUUUUUGGUCCUAACAAAUAUAAGUGUGAUUUUUAUGACCUAUUAGGGCUAAAUUAGGCUAGUUAUGGCCUAAAAUGGUUCAUAUAAUUGAUUUAUUUCAUUCUAGGCCCAAUAUGGCCCAAAAUGUUGAGAUAAAUGGAAGUGGGUCCAACUAGAGCCCAUUUAAAGGUUCUAAGCCCAAGAUGGUCAAAUUGGAAGCUUAUUGGUCCAUUGGGCCCAAUAAGGAAGUCCUAGUCCAAAAUGGACCUAAACAAGAACUUCUAAGGUUUCCCAUUUGCUUGUUGACCAUUUGUAAAUGCUUGUAUGGUGUAUUUGAUUGAAAUUUUUGUUGUCAUAGAACAAGCAUCAUUCAUGCUCUUAUGUUUUUUAUUCAAAAUUUUACUUAUGUGUUGUAGUUACAAGGCACAAAAUUUCUAGUUGUGACAGUUUUACAAAAACUUCCCAAUCUUAGUUACUUUCGGCAAAAGUGAAUUGAUGCAAUUCCAUGAAAUUACACUUUUUACCCUUGCUAAGACGUUAGUGGAGCGUGUGUGGUUAACCGGCACACUAAAUGGGUUCUAUGCAAAGGUAGCAAAGCGUGACUCGAUGUUUGUCAUAGUUCGGUGGAGCAUGUGUGGUUAAACGGCACAUGGAAUAGAUGACUGUAACAUUGGGGGCACCAUGUAAGUUUGCAUGGUUAUUCACACCCUGUUUUGUGAUCCUCAGCAUCCCAGUCACAAAUGGAGGGGCAUAUCGAGAUUUACACAUGACGUUGAAAGGUUCAAUGAAUCUCAAAGGAUCUAGGAGUUUUCAAUACAUUUAAAACUUAAUCUCUUUUUUGUUUUUCAUGGUGGAAAAUUAGUGAAUCGUCAUUCACUUACCUUCAAAUGUUCUGCAAUUUGGGUUACGGCAUCCAUCUGCCAAGUUGUAUAGUAUUGUGUUGGGUCUUAGCCUUAAUAUCUCAUUUGGGUGUUUUAUUAAGGACUCAAUCAAUCAACUAACUUGAAUUUUUCUCCCGUUUUGUAGAUGUCAAAGUAUGACAACUAUGAUCUUCCCAAAUCCCGUGGAACAAGCUUUCCACAUGAAGAUGAUAUUCCACGAUUCGAUCGAGGAACACGAGAUCACGCUUCACCUCCUCCACCUCCUCCUAUUGUUCUCCCUAACCCACAAGUUCAAAGGCUUGAAAAGUUCAAGCUCACUCAAGCCCUUUUGGAAAGUAAACAUGAAGAAGGAAAGUCAGUGUGUGCAUACGUUUGAAAGAUGAAGUCACACAUUGAUAGGUUAAGAAUGUUGGGAGUCGUUGUCUGUGAGGAACUGGCUGUUGACUGGGUUCUUCAGUCGUUUCCUGACUUAUAUAGUGAGUUCGUAAGAGAGUACUAUAUGAUAGACCACGACGUGACCCUCAUCGAUCUCACCUAUUUACUUAUUGUUGUUGAAUAAGCGAUGAUUUGGUGCACUGGAAAAGCAAAGUUGCUUGGUGGAUCUGCCUUCCAGACCUCUAUGGAUAUAGGCAAUGGCAACGAAAGGCAUGCCAUGGUCGAAAAGUUUGAUCAUAAGAGAAAGGUAAAGUCUGAAGUAGUUCCGUGUGUUGUUCCAAAAUAGUCAAUUUGCUUUUAUUGCCAAGAGAAGGGGCAUUGGAGACAAAGCUGCCCAGUCUACCUGAAAGUUCUAAGAGAUGGGAGUGUCAAGAUGUUUGGCUCUACUUCAGGUAAAAUCCACUAUCUAACUCCAUUAAGUUCCUAUUCAUUGAUUCUUAAUACAUAAUGUGAUAAGAUUACAUUUGAAUGUUUUGCAGGAUCAGAGAAAAGAGAGGAAGCUUGAUGGAAGAGCAAGAUGAGUCUGAUCACGAAGAAAUGGAUCACGAUCGCAUGGAUUCGAAGAUCAGAUUUUGAGCUUAGAAAGUUAUGAUAGAUUUGUUAAGAAUAUUUGAUUACAUAGUUUUUCAGUUGAUUUUGCAUUGUAAGGACAUGUUUUCCGCUGCUUUUAUUAAUAAAAUAAAUUUUUUGAUUUGUCUUAUUUAUAUAUAUCCUUGCAAUGAAAUCGUUAUGAAAAUUAACGUUUGUGUAUUUCUAUAAGUGGGUGUGAUUCUUAGUUAUGUUAUUUGUGGUAGUGUCAAAAUUUUCUACGUACGGAAAGAUUCCGAUCACCCAAGUUUCAAUUGGACAGAAACUUGGAAUCAUACAACUUGUAUUGUGUGAUGUAUGGAAAUCUUGGUACUUAGGAAAUUAAGACUAAUUCCUUGAUCACACAAAUAACAAUGUUGUGUAAAGGACUAGAAUACAAUGUUGUGCACUAGUCAAGUCCACCACAAAUAACAAUAAGACUAUUCAUCAUAAUUUACUAAAAGUCUAGUAAAUGUGGUUAUACUUACAAGAUUAAGUGUAAUUCUGAAUCAUUGAAAGGUUUCAAUGAAUGACAGAACGAAUAAGAAGAAUCAAUUAGGCAGAAAGAUAAAAGUUUCUCCAAUCUAAGAAGAAGGGAGAGUACUUUUGUAUCGGGUUCUAUGAUCAUCUUAAUGAUUAAGAACCAUAUCACAAUUGAUCCUCUAAGGACAUCUUAGUGCACUAGUAUGGCUAAGAAGAGGAAUCGGAAAUUGUUGAAAUGGUUAAAUCAAAAGGAUGAGUCAUACUUCGUUCCAAAAUCAAGUCUUAGAAUCGUACUCCAAGAUUGUGAAUUGAGUGACACACACUCAUCAAAUGUGAAGUAGAAAAUUGUUUUUCUUACUCUUGCACGUUUGAAAUUGGUAAUUGUGAUGUCUUGAAUAAGACAAAGACCAACUAAUACCAAUUAUGUGUAGUGUUUGUCUUGAUAACAAUCCGCACUAAUUCUUGAAUAUUUGUUUGUCAAGAACUGUUUUCUUGACAAGAGAAUCUUAUAUGUCAAGAGGUCAGUGGGAGUCUAAAUGAUCUUGAAAAGUUUCAAGAACUAAUCAAGAGUAAACCUAUUAUUAAACACUAGCACACGACUUGAGGAUUGUAACCUAUCGUGUUGACAAAAUUCUGUUUCUGUGUCAAUCCAGUUGAGUGAUUAUGCAUAUGAGUUCUACGAGUUCUCAAUGGACUGCGUAAGGCAAGAACCUUGUUCAAUGAAAGUACAUUGAUUGGCAUGGGUGAGCUACUAGAUAACUUGGAAACAAUGGUGGGACCCUUGAUGGCAAGAAAUUAAGAAUGAACAAGUCCUGUCCAUAAGAGUUUGAAUUUGUCACAAACAUUAUCGUUCGAUUAUGGUUAUGGCAAAUUCACAUGGAUAGGAACACAUACACCAUAAAAUCUAAGUGUCAUAAGGUUUCUCUCCUUCAUGAAAAUGAUUGUGAGGAAACGCUUUCACUAAGAGAGAUUUUAAGGAGAUAGCGAUUAUGUAAAUUGCAUUCUCAAAUUCGAUUAUGAUUACGACAUCCCUCUUCAUAGUUCGAAUUGUGAGAUUUGGCAAUUAGUCUGAACAUUUGGGACUUGGUAAUAUAAGUUCUGAAUUAGUUUAGAAACACAUGUGAGUUAUCUAAGGAAAGGUGUGUGAGUUUCAGAAGCUUAAAUAAAAAGCUUAUCGAAGCACAUCGUAUUGGAAAUAUGAACUUUGGAAGUCAAUAAGAAUUGUCUUUUAAAAGUCCAACUAUUUUUUGAAUACGUGUCAAAGCUAAUGGGAGUAUAAAUGUUAUGCUGGAACAGAUAUAAUCAUCAUGUUAGUGGGAGCAUGAUUAUUAUUUAAGUAUUGCAAGUUGGAAAUAUUAAUUACAGAAAAACAAAAGGUUUCACUUUGCAAAGUUGCAGGGGUUGAAAAGUUAUUUUUGCUAUAAUUAAGGGAGAGAAUGUUAUACUACGUUUCCAAUCUAAAAGCUUAGAUCGAUAAAUUUUAAUUGAAUUUAGUCAAGGAUAUAUUUAUUAUUUGCAUUCUCAAAGUUCGAUUAUGAUUAUGGCAUCCCUCUUCAUAGUUCGAAUUUUGAGAACACGACAAAUAGAAAUAUUAUGGAAAUAUUCGACCGUUCUAAAAUUUUCCAAAUGCCUAGGGCAUUUAGAGAAAAAAAGGGAAUAUAACUGGAUUUGACUAAAAUAAUUAAGCGACUGUUAAGGACAACCUAAGGUUCGCUAAGGAUUGGUCGCUUGAGGACAGUUGGAAGUAUAGUCAUGGAUGGACCAAAUUGACAUUAUUAUGAAUAGAUAAGAUUCUAUUUAGAAUAAGUUGUCAUAUGGAAAAUAUGGAAAUGUUUCCAUAUUAGGAGUUGGAUAUCGAGAAUCAAUGUCUAGAUUAGAAACUUUUAUGCAAGAAGGAUGUUCAUAGGAAUGUAUCUUAAAUGUGAGACUUCAUGACUAUGGAAUUGUCUUGUAACAAUCUCCAAUAGAGUACUUUGUAAUUUCAUUGGCAAAGUCUUGGUGACUUUGGCGCUGUGAUAUUACGAAAUGACCGUUGCAUAAAAUGUUAGAAUCUAACAUAUUCUAGUAGUGGCGAGAAUUUUGUAUUCUUACACUAAUGGAUUAGGAAUUAUGAAAUGAGCAUCAUUGGAAAUGUGUUCAUAUGAUCUAUUUCACAAAGUAAGGACCAUAGGUAAACAUAGUGUGCAUGCUAAGAGCAUGGGACAAUUGUUGUUAUAAUUCAAGUAAGAAGUUGGUUACCCGAAACAACAAAUAAUGAGUAAUCAAUGUGGUGAAUAAACAAAAUGUUUUAUUUAUACUCAAAGGUUUGGGACCAUAUAGGAUUAGUAUUAUUCUUGUGUUUCACUUUGCAUGUUUUGACUUCCCGAAUAAUAAGAUUAUUCAAACCCUCCACAGUCGCUCAUUCUUUGGAAGUAGGAAUGAAAGAAGAAUGUCAUGAAUCUAACUGUAGAUUGUCUAAAGUGUUUUAGACAUAGCAAAAGUUUGUUGCAGGGUUUGUGAGUGCUGCUAUAAGAUUAGAGUAUUGGAUUAAACCCAUGCUCACUUAGAUCGUUUCAUGGAUUUUAUCUCGAGUGAUUGGUGAGAUGAUAAUAUCUUAUAUUAUUGAAACCGAGAUGUGUGAGUUGUAUCUUGCGAGUCGGUUACACAUUGAUAAUAUGUAAACGCACCAGCAACUUGGUGUUAUAAAACGUGUUGUUGUGUGUGAUUCGAUGAGUGAGUACAAGCAAGCAUUGAGUCGAAGUUUAUCCGUUCCUUUUGCCCAAAGUUGGAUAAAAAGCGAUAUCUGUGGGCCCCUCGAUGAUUUGGUAAUGACACCUAAGCGCUUGGCCAAGCCGGGACUAAUUUGAUGUGUUCAAUUGUAGUCUGUUGUUAGUUGUCAUAAAUCGGAAAUCGGGAAACAACACAUGAACAGAGAGUAUAAUUAAAAUCCAUGUCUCAGUUCAUACGAUAUCUAGAAUGGAGGAAUAUAUGAUCCCUUAUCUAAAGGACGCGUAUCUGAUAAGAUCAGAGUUGACAACGGCUUUUGAAAGCUACGAUUGCUAAUUAGAUUUGAAGUUAUACGCAGAAUAGUUAUUAGACUUAUCCAAGUGGGAGACUAUUGGAUUAGUGUCUAAGUCCAUAACUAUUUUGGUAUGUACUUGACCCGAUUGUAAGCAUGGUCUUUUUGGGUUACCUUCACUAAAGCAACUUGAUAGGAUGAUUUGUGGAGAAACAGAUUAAUUAUAAUUUAUUAGUAUAUUAUGUGAAUAAUAUAUUAUAAGAGAAAUCAUAUUGUUUAAUUAAUAUUAGUAAAGAAUUAAUAAAAUUAAUUUUGUGGCUAAAAGACAUUAAUUAAAUAAAGGGGACUAGAACUGUCAAUUGUGUGAUAAUUGGAUAUUGGGCUAAUGGACUCCAUAAAGGAUGGAGUGGACGAAAUAUAUGGGUAAACCCAUGAGAAUUCGUCCAAGGCCUUUAAGAGGGACUCCAUUGGCUGCUUAGAGCCUAAGCAGCCAGAUUAGGGUUUCCUAGUUCAAAAACCCUAAUGGCCUCACUAUAUAAGGACUCCUAGGGCACCCAAAAACAUGGCUAAGUGUUCCUUAGGGUUUCUUGGACGUUUUGGUGCCUCCUUCUCUUCACCUAAGUCAUCCUCUUGCUCUUGGUGUUUGUGAGCCAUUAAAGGUGUGACAUUUGUGACACUAAGCUUUCAAAAGCAAAUUACAAGGAGGAUUUGAGAUUGUUAUUGCUACAUAACAAUCAAGGUAAGAUCUAAACCCUAUUCUUAUGUUAAUAUCGAUUAUCACAUGAUAGAUCUAGGGUUUAAAGUCUUGGAUGAAUGCAUAUACAAUAUAGAAACCUAGAUCUAAGCAUUAGGGUUUACAUGAGCAUAUAGGAUGUUCUUAUGACCAAAACCCAUCAGAAACACGGUGUGUUACCGAGCCCAACACAUCGUGUUGGGUUGCCUGGUGUCACGAUCUGAUGCCAAGGCGUGGGGAGGAAGUUGUGGCUGAGAUGGUGCCACGUGUCACCUCUGGAACUUAACCCCAAAAUUAAUUAUCUUCUAAAUUUCGUAACUUUCGAAUACGAGCUCCGUUUUUUACGUUCUUUAUAUCCACACAUAGGUAGCGAUGUCAUAUACAACUUUUGUUUAGACUCUAUUGGCUAAUUUUGACUAUAUUUUUUAAGUUAUAUUUUAACAGGCGUAGAGAGUUAAUGUCCAUUAAAAAUUCAUAAUUUUGUCAUCCGACGUCCGUUUUUACUGUCUUUAUAUCAUUGAGCUCCUAUUAAUGAAAUCUUCAACUCUCAUUUAGGUUGUGUCGCCUAAAAAUCGAUCGAUCUAAAAUUGAUUUCCGGGCUAUGCACUGCUAGGCUAAAUCUUAGAAAAAUCAUAACUUCCUCAAACGAAGUCAGAUUUGGACGUUCUUUUAUGUACGUUCUCGGUUUAAUGUAUACUAUGAAUUUUGUUUAGGUCGCUAAGGCUAAAAAGUAUUCGUCAAAAAUUCACUUUUUACGUUACGCGGAGUCGUGCUGGUUUUGUCGCAAAACUUCGACGAGUCAUAACUUCUUCGUUUUAAUUCGGAUUUCAAUGUUCUUUAUAUAUACAGAAUCCUUGUGACAUAUACUAUAAUUUUGGUUAAGAUUAUUUAUGCUAAAUAAUCUUCUAUAAAAAAAACUCAUUUUUAACGCUUAUUAUCUCUAAAUUGACUAACCCGAAUCUGUGGGCGUUACAGCUAACAACGAAGAUUCAAGUUACGUAAGUAAAUAAGGGCAACAAUGUACUUUAAAGAUACCACGAUAUGGAUAGAGUCUAGAGACGAUGUGGAAAAGUAAAUUACUCUUUAUUAUUAGUGACAGAUCAAAUAUUAUUGCAUGAGAAUAGUGUCAUAAGAGAUCCUCCACGACGUGGCCGGUAAAAUGCCAUGAUGUGGCGACGAAACGAACUUAGAAAAGUACGAUCUGUAAACAGAUCAAUCCAAUUAAACACUUCCAUAACACACUCUAAGGUGUAGUUUUCACACACUGAAGCUCUAGAGGUUCGAUUUUAAGGAGAUAAAGAGAUUCAAGCUUCAAUUUUGGUGGAUCAAGGUAAAUAUUGCUACUCUUAAUACAUUGAUUUUGGAUUUAGGGCAAGAUUCUGAAGUUAUUGGUGAAACCCUAGAUGAAGGGUAUGAUUUUAUAUCAUGAAAUUGAAUUAGAGGUUGAUGUCAUAUAGCUUAAUUAUAGACUAUUCUAAUGAUUAUGAACCUUGUAUGUGAAAUUCGAAGAUUGAUAUGAGAAACCAAGUUCAUAGGAUUUAGGGUUCAUAUGCGAAAAGUGUGACCGAAGGAAUGUCCUUAAGUGAUAAAAUAUGAUAUAUGUAACACCAUCCGUUAUACCCGCCACUAACCACUAUAGUGGUGGGGGCCACAUCAUCACCACUAACCUUCACUAAACAUAUGAGAUACCUACCACUAAAUACACUACUCCACCUCAUUUUUUUAAUUAAAUUUAAAUAAAAAAUACAUAAAAAUCAUAUAAUUUUUUUAAAUACUAGUUUUUUAUUAGUUUAAAAUACCAAAUUACAUUAAAUAAAACUACAUUAAUUAAAUAAAAAAUAAACAAAACCACAUCAUCACCACUAACCUUCACUAAACAUAUGAGAUACCUACCACUAAAUACACUACUCCACCUCAUUUUUUUAAUUAAAUUUAAAUAAAAAAUACAUAAAAAUCAUAUAAUUUUUUUAAAUACUAGUUUUUUAUUAGUUUAAAAUACCAAAUUACAUUAAAUAAAACUACAUUAAUUAAAUAAAAAAUAAACAAAACAUUAAAAAUAAAAUUACAUUAAUUGAAAUAAAAAAAAUUAAAAAUUAAUAAUAUUAAAAAUUAAAAACCUAAAAAUACCGAACUUAUGAUUUGUGUUUUAAGCAAGGUUAUUCCAUUUUGAAGAAUUCUUCAACUUUUGUCAAGCUUUGACAUAUCCAAAAUGUUUAUUAUUUUUGUUUUCAUAUUGCUCCAUGGCCACAUUAUCCGGAUCGAUAUCGGCUUCGUGUACGUUGUUUAUAACAAAGUUGUAAAUUCCAUUGACCUCACAACAGUUGACCCUCAUAUCGCGCCACUUCGAGCAUAUUUCAUCAACAUUUCGAAUUGCACAACUCAUUAAACCAUGAAAACACUUUCAACAUUUCUCUAAAACAGACGUUUGACCAGCGCCUUCUUCCGAAACCGUCACCCAUGCUUGUGCUAAUUUCUCUUCUUCCUCUUUUGACCAUUUCUUGUUUUUGGGAGGCAUGGUUUUUGAAAGAACAAACAACAAAAAUGUAUGAAUAUGACUAAAGGGAGAAGAAAUGUGUGAAAAUUAAGAAGAUGGGUGGUAAUAUUUAUAGGUGAAUAUUGGAGAGAAAAAAUAAAAGAAAGUAGUUAUUGUAAGAGGUCAAACAAGAUUUAAAGAAGGAAAUGAAUUGAUUGGGCGUUGCAGUUCGUUGUUGGGAGUAUGAAGGUCCACGAUCACGACCCACAACGAGCCACCGGGAUGGUGUGCACGAUCUAGACCACGACGUCGUUCGUGGCCUCCAUACCGGAAGGCCUAAUGUGUAUGGCAGGUAAUAUGAACCUUUUACGAGUAUUAUAUUGAUAUAUGUUUGGAUUCUUGAUAAAUGUUGAGAUGGUGGCAUGAUAAAUAAUAUGUAUGAGUUGAUAGUAAAUAGGAAAUCCAUAGAAAGGGUUGAACAAAAAACUUCCAAGCUUGGGAUAUCACCUACAUAAUCCCUAGACAAGGUGAGUAACAUCUAACUAACUUAUGAGAUUAUUAACACAUGAUACAUUUGCUUAUUAUGAAAUUAUGAAUGUUUAGAUACGAAUUAUGUGGUUUAUGUAUAAUAUAUAAAUGAUGUAUAAUGAGAAAUAGAUUGAGUAUGAGAAACACACAUGAUGAAUCUGUGAAAGAUGAAUGGAUCAAACUAUGUGUGAGAUCAUUUGGAUAGAGCCGACUUGUUGAGAUUUUGAUUAAUGGGUACAAUGGAUCUAUGAGAGAUAAAAUGAUCAUAUUAUAUGGAUGAGCUAUUCCAUGAGAUUAUUAAAAUGAGAAUAUGAGAAAGAUUGUUCCUUUUCUAAGGAAUAAUGAUCAAAAUGGCGAGUUGCUUAUCAUUUUGAUAUAAUUGAAUUAAUAAAAUAUGGUUAACGAGUAUCUCAUAUCUUGUUAGUAUAUGAUCAUAUGUUGAGUUUGUUAUAAUGGGAUUGAUUAUUACUCACUAAGCUUCCAAACUUAUCAACUUGGAUACUUUUAUUGUUACAGAUACAAGUAUGUCGGACAAGGGAAAGGGUGCGAUGUAGAAGCCAUAGUGUCUUUUGGUAAUCAAACUUUUAAGGAUGUAUUUUGAUAAGGCGUAAACCCGGCAUGAUCUAAUACUUUAUUUUGAUGUAUAUGAUAAUAACUUGUAUGAUAGGUUAAUAUAAUAUACACUCUCUAGUUUAGAAAAAAUCGAGUGUACUUUAUUUUAGUUGGGUGUUACAGAACAAGAUAGGUUGGAAGUAGUUAUGAAGACUCUUGAAGGUGAUGCUCUUUUGUGGUAUGAAUAAGAGAAUCAAAGGAGACCUAUAUGUGAUUGGGAUGAAUUAAAAGGGUUGAUACGUCAUGAUUAGAGAUCCUCACAGCAACCGCAAAGGUUUUCCAGGAAGAAAUACAAUUGGAGCUCUAAUGUAGCCUCAUGGAGAUGAUAGCUCCGUUAAACGACAGACAGGAAGAUGCGCUUCUAGAGUUUUGCAAAAAUGGGCUUAAAAAUUAGACAAAACCUGGGCAAUUAAUAGCACUGAGAUCUUGAUAAAAUCUCGGUUGGAUAGCGUUUCGCGGGUAGUGGCCAUAUAGUGGUUUCAAAUAGCGCUCAAAAUAGCGGGGCCACUAAUAUCUCUGAGAUCAGUCAACAUUGGCCGCUAUUUACCGCUAUUUCUACUCCGAGAACUCGGUUUUUGACCGCUAUUUCAUAAAAUCUAUUUUAGCUAUGCCGAUUGCUUUUUCUAUCUCUUUUUUCCUUCUUCUAUUGAUUAAUUUCAUAUAAGUAAACGAUUAACUUAUUUAUAAGAAAUAUUUAAUUGAUUGAUUUUACUUAAUUCAGUGAAUUGAUUGGAUUUAGAUUUUAGAACAGAGGAACUAUGUAUUUCUCUUCUAUUAAUUAAUUAAUGAAAUAUAUAUUACAUAAUAUUUAAAAACCACUAUCCCACCGCUAUCUCACCACGAGAACCGCUAUUUUAACUCAUGGCAACUGACCGUGAUUAGAUUUUGGACCUUGAUAACUGCAUAAGGAAGAACUUAGCACUUUGGGCUCACAUCAACCGGAUAGAAAACAAACUCGUUGAAAGGUAGCAAUUUAAACUCAAGCCAAUUAUAGCCAAGGAUGAAAGAACUUAAGCUCAAAUGGAUUGAUUGAAUCGACGACAUGCAAAUCAAUUCCACAAUCGACAUCCUUAACACCUUUUACCACCUACACAUCAGUCUUGUCGUUGCAAUUCUACUCAAUUAAAUGAUAGCAUAUGUUGACACAAUUUUUUUUUAUGUUCGUCGAAAAUUGAGAGACCUCACAUAAUGGUGGGAAAGUAUAAGCUACAAUACACUUAUUCUUCCUUAAUUCUUGGUACGUAUCUAUAAUCCUACUAGUUUGUUUUUAUUAGCUUUACCCUUUUCUAUGUAUGAUUCCGCUAUAUAAUAACAUAUAUUCACACAAGCUUAUUGUUUUUUUAUGUCAUAUGACUAUAUAUGUUUAUUAAUAUAUGUAAAGAAUUCUAUUAUUUAUCAAUAUAUACAACUAACACAAUUUAUAUAACCUAGCAAAAUUUUGUUGAGUACUUUUUUCAUCACAUCUAGUAAGAGAUAGCCACAAGUAUUUGCAUUUUAAGAUUAUUAGGCCAUGCUUCCCUUUGAUAUUUUAUUUGGAUAAUAUGAAUUGGUGAGGGUUCUCACUUCUCAAUGAUAUUUUCUUUUCACCUCAUCCUUACCUAAAUUAGAUCACAUGGAAGAGAAGGUUCUCAAUGAUAUUAAAGUAACUUGAAACUAUACCCCCCUUUACUGUAAGACCUAUUGACCAUGUUAUAUCUCAAUCAGAAGGGUAUUAUGGGGAAUAGAAAAAUUCGCUCAAACGUUUCAGGUGUCUUUUAAAACCAACAAAAUAUAAAGAUUAAAAUUAGGCCAUCAGACAUAGUUGCAUGGUUAGAGUUAAUGUGUUCGAAAAAUACAAUCUUUGUAUCAAGUAUAAAAUCAAUUAUAGAUGUAUUCAUUUAUAAGAGCUUAAAUUAUGAACUCCAAUCUCCUAAUAAUACACAUUCAUAAUCACAGAUUUGUUCUACUUUUAGUUCAAAUCAUUUUUAGAAAAUGAUCAUUAAAGGAUUUGAUUUCAAUGUCAUAAACAAAACAAAACCUCAUAAGAACAUGUUUCAAUUAGUGCUAUUUGUACAUUUCUCUCAUCCUAAUGAUAUACCACCAUGAGAACACAUCCUCUACGAAUCAUAAAAUACUCUUACAUAUAAUGACAAGUUAUCAAGAAUGAAGGAACAAAAGCCGAUUUUUUUUUUUUGGCAAAACUAGGGUCGAUUUAUAAACCAUUUGCAAAAGUAGGGCAUUUCAAAAUCUCUUUGUAAAAGUAGGGUCAAUUUAGUUGGCCCAUUGCAAAAAUCAAUUUUUUUUUAUAGAAUUUUCAUUUUCAACCUCUACAACUUAACUUUUCAACCCUUUGACUUCUAUGAUACUUUUUAUUUGUAUCUUAUACUUUAAAUAUUUAUGUUUAUUCUAAUGUUAUCUUAAACAUAGAUAAAUUUAUGUGUUAUUUCUACCAUAUUACCGGUACAAAAAAUUCAUUAAUAUAUUUCAAUUGAUAUCAAUAUCAAUUUCUAAGCAUAUAUUAAAGUGGUGUCAAUAUUUCAGUUGAUAUCAAUAUCAAUUUCUAAGCAUAUAUUAAAGUGGUGUCAAUAUAUAACUUUUUCUUCAGUCUUUUUAAAACUGUUCGUUCCAUUUCGUUCAGAUCAUUUUUAUGUAUAUUUUUAAAAACCCUUUUUUAUAUAAUGUUAUAGAAUUUGAAUGAAAAUACUUUUUAUAUAACUUAAUAUUUUUAAUCAUUUGUGUGAAAAAACUUAAUUAGUUAAUUUUUAUUAUGAAAAAUAUGUAAUGAAAAUAUAGCCCUUAGAUAUUAAAUAUAUUAGUUGUUGAGUUACUUAUNNUAUAAAUUAUUGAUAUAGAUAUGUUGUUUGAUGUAAAACAUUAUUUUUUUUAACUUUUAAAUUGUUAAUAUUUUUUGUUUAUCUAAACAUGAAGUUAAAUUCAAAAGCAUACAAUAAAAUUCUCAAUAUAAACAAUAAUAUAUCCAAAGACUAUUUUUAUAUAUGGUUAAAAAUAUAAAUAUAAUGUUAAAUAUACAACUAAAACUGAAAUGCCAAAUUAAAUAAAAUAUGACAAAAACAUAUUUUUUUAUUAUAUCUGAUUACAAAGAGUAUGUUUAUGGGGUGUUUGGCUUAGCUUUUUAGAUGCCAAAAGUCCUUUUAGAAAAAGAUAGAAAACAAAAGAUGUUUGUUAAAUGCAUUUUAAAAGCUAAUUUUAGAUUUGGAUACAAGUAAAAAUGAACUUUUUGAAAAAGUUAGGAAAACCUGAUUUUUUUUAACUUUAACACCCUUAUAUGGUUAAAAAUAUAAAUUCACCCUAGUUUUGUUAAAUAAAAAAAAAGUCACAAAACCCCCCAUGACGAAAAUUUUAUCAUAUCUAAUGCUAAUACAGAACUAUAGGAAGUGAUUAAUGAUUACCUAAGUGAGGGAUUUUCCAUGGGUUUAUGAACAAAUACGAAUGGAUGAGAUUUUUUGUACUUCUUGACAUCAGGUGCUUGUUGUCCACCACCUAUUUCAAGAGAACCAUGAAAUAAGGGAGUCCUAGAGGAACAUGAUUUCUUCCUGAUUCUUCUCCAAACCUUGCAAGAACCCUGCAACAAGGAAAAAGGUAUAAAUAAAUAAACGAAUAACUCUGAAAUUUAAUAAUUGUAUUCAAAAGGUAAUAAGAUAAAAUAACAAGAGAGUGACAAUAUAGCUAACCUAUCACCAAGAUGGAGAUUUCUUGAGCUUUUAGAGUCACAAGGUUGCAAAACAGGGGAGUCUUACAUUCUGGGAUCUUAAAGCUUGUGAACUCGUUGAUAUCAAGUUGGGCUUGUGGGGGAAUUAUUUGAAGUUGGGGAGGAGAGAUAUGGAUGAAGAUGAUGGAGAGAAUUGUUUCAUACAAAUAGAAUGGUUUGAGUGGGGUGGCAUUAAUGCCAAACUUUGACGAAAGUACCUUGGAAUGGUAUUUGAUGUUGGAUACAUUUCAUCUACAAAGUUAAUCUACAGCUGUGACUCAUAUGGCUCUACAAAU